AGGUCUAGGAUUGUUAAAUCCUUUCGCUGUUAAUGACCAUAACUGAAACAAAUAAAAUAUUGAUUUUUUAGGAUAUCCUAAAUCUCAAAGAAUUAUGAAUACCUACAGAUUCCUCAACACCAAAGGCAGCAAACCAAAAAGUGAAACAAACCGAUUCUUCGUCGGGUGAUGUUUGAAUUAUUGGAGAUCGUAAACGUACAUCUGUGGAUUGUUUAUUUAUAGUAAAAAUAUCAAAGAAAACAAAGUCUCCGGUUGCCCCAAAAGUUUUAUCCAAUAGCUGAGCUGGACGAUGGGCAAGAAACGCACGUUGCCAAGUGACUGUACGCUCGUUUUCAGAAGAGAUGCACCAGGUGGUUUCACUACAAACCAGUAAUAACAUAAUUAGUUCGAGGUAGAAUUAGGAAAAACAGGAUUUAUUAAAAGCUUACCAGAACAAUUGCCAGUAUAGAAAGCAAUAUCGUCAAUGCCAAUGCUG